AUUAGGAGUCCUAAACAAACUUAAUUUUUCUAAACAAUUAAAAUUCUAUUUCCUAAAUAAUAAUGAACCUAAAAGAUACCUAAUAAAAUUCUUAAACUUUUUAAUUAUACAAUGAAUAUAAUCCUAAGUUGUCCUUUUUCAAUACCGCAUCAAGUACCAUCUAUGAUAUGAGUAUUGUAUAAAAAUUAUUGAGGCAAUGGCAAUGAUUCUACCUCAAAUUUGAAGUUGAUAGCUUGA
rnacentral:misc_RNA from 1 species